GAUGAAGAACGUAGCGAAAUGCGAUACUUGGUGUGAAUUGCAGAAUCCCGUGAACCAUCGAGUCUUUGAACGCAAGUUGCGCCCGAAGCCACUAGGCCGAGGGCACGCCUGCCUGGGCGUCACACGUCGUUCCCCCCCCAUCUACUCCUUCGGGAUUGCAGGGGGCGGAUGAUGGCCUCCCGUGCGCCUCGCCGCGCGGUUGGCAUAAAUACCAAGUCCGCGACGACGCACGCCACGACAAUCGGUGGUUGCGAAACCUCGGUUGCCCGUCGUGUGCGUUCGUCGCGCAUCGAGGGCUCGAAAAAAUGCUCGGCUCCGGCUCGGCUUUCAACGCGACCCCAGGUCAGGCGGGGUUACCCGCUGAAUUUAAGCAUAUCAAUAAGCGGAGGA
rnacentral:misc_RNA from 1 species